GCGCCAGGCGAGGCGCUCUGAAUGCCGGCGCAGGGCCGCCGGCAACUGGAAGGGGCCGCGGCCUCUCCCUCGCAGCUCCGCUAGUGGUGCCUAAACAAUGAUAUCCUGAUUCGCUUUUGGUAAAUCUUAAUUACUUUUACCAACAGUCUCUACAAUUAAGAGGCUUAAGGAGACACGCAUUACUAAAAUCAAAGCUGUUCAUAUCUGCUGCUUUCUCAGUAGUGAGUGAUUUCUGUGAAAGCUUGGCAAGUGUCUCAUGAGCUCCCGCUAAGGAUGCAACUACCAAAGGCAAGAUCAAGAGACAAAUGAGCACCACCUCCCCCAGCGCCAUGUUCCCCUGCCCGGGAAACACCACCUGCUUCCUAUGUGGCUGGAGGGGUGGGGGCUCUGCACAGCAGCGAAGAUGCUAGAGAUUACAGGCAGAUAUUUUGCAAAUACUCUUUUUUAAAGUUAUUGAUUCAUGCUUCUGCAAAAGACUUGAGACAACUCACGAUGAAGUGCUCUGUAUCAGUCAGGGUGAUAUUGAUUGCAAGGGACAGAAACCCAAUCAGAAACUCACUGGAGUCAUGAGGAACACUUAUUGGCUCAGAUAACCUAACCAUUGGAUGGGCAGGGAUGUAUCUGGUUUGGGAGCAAAUAGUACCAGGUGCUGAAAGUAGCUGUCUCAGACUCUGGUCUAUCUGUCUUUCUGUGUCACAUUCUUUCACACCUUGGAGGUUGUGGCCAUCUGGCUCAUCACUGGUCAAGAAGAUGCCUCCUUCAAUAGUUCCUUGAUUUCAAUUUGAAAUAAUGCUAGUCAAAGACUCUGGCCUUUGGCAAACACCAUGGCAAUGGUCUGAGAGUGGCAGAAGGCAGAGGUUGACUGCAUUAAUAAAAUGAUAAGGUUGGGUUGGGACAGGUGGGGAGAAGGGUUUAUCUAAAAGAAGGUGCUGCUGCUACCAAAAGAGGGAGUGUUUGGGCUGGGGGGACAAAAUAAAAGAUGUCCACAACAAAUACAUAAAUAGAAUCAUUAAAUAAAGCGGGAUGGGAUGGAAAUGAGCAGGGUUUGUUGUGUAAGAAAACCUAAAUUAAUUAUGGUAGCUUCAGUUUAGCUCUCACAUAUGUGAAAGUCAAGGUAACACAGAGAAACUUAUCAUUUAUAAACAAAAGGAAGCAAACAUUCUCCUGUGUGUAAACUGUACUAUGAUACUAAAAUAGGUUUACAGGAGUCAUUCAGUGGACAACAUCUUCCAUAGUGAUUUUCAAAAACGAUGCAAACAAUUUUUAUUCUGUAAUAUCUUAUGUCAAAAAAUUAUAUUUAGAGCAUAAUGUUAGCUCAUAUUUCUUUUAGGUCUUCAUGGUGUAUUUAGGAUGAUAAAUAAGGUAUAUCUGGGGAGAUAAAUCCAGGUAUAUAGCUUUCAGAUGAUCAAAUCUAUUAACACAUCCAACUAAUGGACUAUUCAUGAUACCACAUUUUUAUCAAUGUGUAAACGUUAUGUUUGCUCUCAUUUUGAACUUUUUGUUUGUGUAGAAGACUGGAAUGAUCAUAUUAUGUGACACUGUGUUGAAGAGAGUCACUAAGAAAGAAGUAAUGUCAAGUUACAGGGAAAGUAAGAAAGACUGGAACACACUGGGACUGCCGUAAACAUAAAAGACAGGCAUUCAGAACAGUAAAGAAUUGUACUCAAAUUGUUUGAGUACAAACUGUGUGACACUGUGGCACUGUGUUAGGGAAACCAAAUAGUGUAUUCAUUGGCAAUGUCUUUUAUGGAUACCAGGAGAUAUUGUUAGUCAGCUAUAGUGCAAUUAUUGUUGAUUUGUUUGGUGUAUUCUUAAUUUAUUGAAUCUUUUGAAUUGUGCUACUCCAAGUUCUAGUAAAUACUAGAAUGUAUUUGCUACUCAAGUAUUCCAGUAAAUACUAGAAAGUAUCCAGCAUAUUCCAAAAGACCGAGAGUCAUUGACUUAGUAGACAAUGAAAAUUGUUACCUUAGUUGAACGAAUUUCAAACUGUAUGUGCUGUAUCUCUGGGGGCAGAGGGGAGAAGAGUGACUCCAUCACAGUCAGGUAGUUCCAAAUGUAUCUGUUGUGCAUAUUUGACUUGCACAUAAUUGACUUUUAAAAGAAAUUGUCUUUAAUCCAAAACAAAACACCUUGAAAAUCAGUCUUAGACUGUCACUUUUAUUUUUCUAAUAUCUCUUAGUAUUCCUGGACUUUCAAAAUUGUUCUACUAAGGAAAUUCUCAAACAUCCAAAAGUAAAAAGACAGUAUAAUAAACCCCAUUUACACAAUAUUCAAAUUCAACAAUUUUUAACAUUGUGUUUUUCUUGGUUUUAAAAAAUAUUUCACAUAACUGAUCCAAAGGAAUUUUUUACACAUAAUGUCACCAUAGAAUGUUAGACUUUUUUAUUUAAAAAAAAAAACCUGAUUAUAAAUAUUUGCACAUUUAUAAGAGGAGUUUUCAGGAAUUUGACAGGGCACACCUAGAACCACCAGGGUGGUGCUCAGGACCCACCAGGUACACCAAGGACCCACCAAGCACAGGUCCAGCCCCAGUUGUCCAUCUUGUUUUAUCUAUUAUUCACUGUUUUUGAUAUCAUAUUGUUUUUAUCCAUAAUUAUGUCAGUAGUAUAUAAAUCUAACAGAUGAGGAUUUUUAAAAGCCACAAAUCCACCAUUCCAUUAUCACAUCUGACAAAAUUAACAUUAAUUCUAUUAUUUCACCUAUUAUGCAGUCCAUGUUCAAAUGUCCCCGAUUUUCUCAAAUAUAAAUAUUUUACAGUCCUUUUGAAAUCACAGAAUAAAGUCCACAAAUUGCAUUUGGCUGAAAUGUCUCUUAGGUAUUUUCUAAUCUAUGAGAGUUCCCACUUCCCCACUUUUAGUCAUUUUUUUGUUUGUUGAAGAUAUUGAUUCAUUUGUCCUGUAGAACUUCCGGCAUGCCAGAUUUUGCUGAUCGCAUUAGAUCAACCAACCCAUUAAUCUAAUAACUUGUUCCUUUGUAUUUUUCAUAAGCUUGCUGCCUGAGUGUGAAGCUUGCUUAGAUUCAGAUGCAUUUAUUUUGGCAAAUACUCCAUAGGUAGUAUCAUGUGCUUCCGAUUGCAUUCCAUCAGGCGGCACAUGAGGUCUUGUGGUCCCAUUUUUAGAACUGUUAACAUUGAUCAAGGGUUAAGUGUUGUCAUCUAAUCUACCCUUUCACUAGUGUUUUCCUGAGCCUCUGACAGAUGUUUCAUUGAAAAUGAGGUCUGGCGUGCCCAUCCAGUGGAAGCAUUUUGAAUUUUUUAUUGAUUCUUAAAUGUCCUUUCUCAUGGAAGCCUUCAUGCCAUCCAAUUAAAAUGGCAACUCCCUCCUCUCUAUUGGCCUUCUCUGCUUUUUUCCUUCCUCCAUGGAAUGUAUUAGUAUUUUAAUCUUUUAUAAACACAUUACUUAUUUCCCCCAACCAUUGUAUAAGCUCCAUGAAGACAAGGAUUCUUGUUUUUUUAAUUAGUAGACUUUAUUUUUUAGAUCACUUUUAGUUUUAGAGAAAAAUUGAGUAGAAAGUACAUAGAGUUUCCUUAUAUGCCCUUUCCCAUCUCACCCUAACCCCCCUAAAUUUCCCUUAUUAUUAAUAUCUUGCAUUAGUGUGGUACAUUUUCUACAAUUGAUGAACCAAUCUUUAUGCAUCAUUAACUUAAGUUUACUCUUUGUUUCGUACAGUCUUAUGGGUUUUGACAAAUGUAUAAUGUCAUGUAUCCAUACUAUAGGUUCAUAUAGAUGAUCCUAAAAAAUCCCCUAUGCUCCACCUAUUCAUCCCUCCUCCCUCCAUCCCUGAACCACUAGCAACUUCUGAUCUUUUCACCGUCUCUAUAGUUUUGCCUUUUGUAGAAUGUCUUACAGUUGGAAUCAUACAGCAUGUUGUUUUUUCAGACAGGCUUCUUUCAUUUAGCAAUAUGCCUUUAAGUUUCCUCCACAUCUUUUUGUGGCUUGACAGCUAAUUUCUUUUCAUUACCACAUAAUAUUAUACUGUCUGGAUAUACCACAGUUUAGCUAUUCAUUCACGUACUGAAGCCAUCUUUGUUGCCUCUAAGUUUUGAUAACGACGAAUAAAGCUGCUAUAAACAUUUGUGUGCAGGGUUUUUUUGUGGACACACAUUUUCAACUCGUUUGGAUAGAUACCAAAGAUUGUAAUUGCUGGAUUGUAUGGUAAGACUACGCUUAGCUUGUGAGAAACUGCUAGACUGUUUUCCAAAGUUGCUGUACCAUUUUGCACUCCUACCAGCAAUGAAUAAGAGUUCCUGCUGCUCCACAUCCUCGCCACCUUUAGUGAAGUUUCUGUUUUGAUCUUUUGCCCAUUUUUAAGUUGCGUCGUUUGCUUUCUUAAUGCUGUUUUAAGAGUUCUCUGCAUAUUUUUGAUGUAAGUCUUUUAUCAGAUGUGUUUUGUAAAUAUUUUCUUCCACUC